GACGAACGCUGGCGGCGUGCUUAACACAUGCAAGUCGAACGGGAAGGCCCUGAUUUUGUGGGGUGCUCGAGUGGCGAACGGGUGGGUACCAAGUGGGUAACCUGCCCUUGACUUUGGGAUAACUUCAGGAAAAUGGGGUCAAUACAGGAUGGGAGAUACUGCUGAAUGGUGGGGGAUGGCAAGUUUUGGCGGUCGGGGAUGGACUCGCGGCUUAUCAGCUCGUUGGUGGGGUAGUGGCUGAUCAGGGCUCUGACGGGUAGCCGGACUGUUAGGGUGAGCGGACACGUCACAACUGAGAUGCGGCCCAGACUCCUACGGGAGGCAGCAGAGGGGAAUGUUACACAGUGGGAGGAAGCCUGAUGCAGCAACGCCGCGUGCGGGAAGACGGCCAUCUAGUUGUAAACCGCAUUCGCCUGUGACGAAGCGAUAGUGACGGUAAUGGGGAAAGAAGCACCGGCUAACUACGUG
rnacentral:rRNA from 1 species